rnacentral:rRNA from 1 species
UACGUAGGGGGCAAGCGUUGUCCGGAAUUAUUGGGCGUAAAGAGCGCGUAGGCGGUCCGAUAAGUCGGCUGUGAAAGUCAGGGGCUCAACCCCUGAAUGCCGGCCGAUACUGUCGGGCUAGAGUCCGGAAGAGGCGAGUGGAAUUCCCGGUGUGAGCGGUGAAAUGCGCAGAUAUCAGGAGGAACACCGGUGGCGAAGGCGGGUCUCUGGGCCGAUACUGACGCUGGAGGAGCGAAAGCGUGGGGAGCGAACAGG